GUCCUCUCAGGGUCGCAUCUGGAGAGAUUCCAGUACUCCACCAGUCUCGACUAGAGGAGGGAGAGUCAAGCAGAGGCAUACCCAUUCCAUUUUUAGUUUGGGCAGUGGCUAGUGAGUGGAAGGCAAUCUGUUACAAGU